rnacentral:rRNA from 1 species
ACGGGAGGCAGCAGUCGGGAAUAUUGCGCAAUGGAGGAAACUCUGACGCAGUGACGCCGCGUAUAGGACGAAGGUCUUCGGAUUGUAAACUAUUGUCGUUAGGGAAGAGAAAGGACAGUACCUAAGGAGGAAGCUCCGGCUAACUACGUGCCAGCAGCCGCGGUAAUACGUAGGGAGCGAGCGUUAUCCGGAUUUAUUGGGUGUAAAGGGUGCGUAGACGGGUUAUUAAGUUAGUUGUGAAAUCCCUCGGCUCAACUGAGGAACUGCAACUAAAACUGGUAAUCUUGAGUGUUGGAGAGGAAAGCGGAAUUCCUAGUGUAGCGGUGAAAUGCGUAGAUAUUAGGAGGAACACCAGUGGCGAAGGCGGCUUACUGGACUGUAACUGACGUUGAGGCUCGAAAGCGUGGGGAGCAAACAGGAUUAGAUACCCUGGUA